rnacentral:lncRNA from 1 species
AGCCACCACCUUCGCACGGUUACCUCUCUGGGUUUGUUCCUCCGGCAGCGCUUAUCCUGAUCAGUGGCUCUUGAACCUCCUGGGGGGACUGCGGAAUCUCCGGGGCUGCCCGCCUGCCCAGCAGCACCUUCAGCAGCCUCUGGCCGGGCUUUCCUGCCACAGCACCGGGAGCCAGGUGUGCACACAUCUGGAGGAUCUUUCCAAUUCCCUCACUUCCAAGACUCCUGCCAAUUGGUUCUGAGGCUAAAGGCCAGAGGAGCAGACAUGGCCUUGAGGCCCUACAGGUCUCAAUAAAGAACUCACGCCUUAGGAAAUGGGGAGCCCCUGAUGGCUCUGAAGGAGGGAAGUGACCUGGUCUGAUUAAAAGCAUACUCUCUGGCACUCCUGACAAGAACCGCAGUAUCUGGUGAGAAAUGGGGAAGACUGGGACAGUGGUAACAGGGGCUGAGGGGAGGGGACAGAUUUGAGGACUAUUUGGAGGU